rnacentral:rRNA from 1 species
AGCAGUCGCCGCGGUAAUACGUAGGUCCCGAGCGUUGUCCGGAUUUAUUGGGCGUAAAUCGAGCGCAGGCGGUUGGAUAAGUCUGAAGUUAAAGGCUGUGGCUUAACCAUAGUACGCUUUGGAAACUGUUUAACUUGAGUGCAAGAGGGGAGAGUGGAAUUCCAUGUGUAGCGGUGAAAUGCGUAGAUAUAUGGAGGAACACCGGUGGCGAAAGCGGCUCUCUGGCUUGUAACUGACGCUGAGGCUCGAAAGCGUGGGGAGCAAACAGGAUUAGAUACCCCCGUAGUCCCUGUCUCUUAUACA